CGUUUGUAUUUCGCGUAGUAAAAAAGACUCGUUACGACGUCAUAAAACUUCUCACGACACUAGUGAUGUCACACGAGCUUACUAAUUAGUGAAAAUGCUGCAAUUCGAUUGGUUUAAACAUAAAUUUCGUAAUUUAUUUUUUAAGCGUAAACGUCAGUGUAGCGUUACGUAGUCUAACGUAGAAUGUUUAAAGAAAUGAAUGAAUAUUUAUUAAAAGUUGUGUAGAUUUGAUUCGAUAACGUUAAAUUUUUCCAGAUUUGAAUGCACCAGCCAGAGAAGAUACUAUCCUGUUACAUCAGCAAAUGGUAAGGUUACUUCCCGUUAUCUGAACCCAAAAUGCAUCUAACGAGGUAUCCAGCAGUAUUUUGUUUUGGUAUUAUUAUAUAGAAGAAUACCCUAGUCGGCGCAACUCGGACUGGCCAGCAACGUUUCCAAGUCGUUUCUUCCUCGAUAGGGAGAGGGACGUUCGUUAAUUUUCUGCGGGAGUCUCUCCAGUAAACCAAUCGACAAAAAUGAUGCCUCACUUGAGCCUAAUGACAAGUAACCAACAUCAGGCAGAACUAAACAAGAAUAACUACCUGCCAUUGUCAAAACAAUUGUUACCUGGUAUUACAAUUAAAUUAUGGUUUUCCUAAACAAAUAAAAAGCAAUAAAUGUUUGAUAAAAGAUAAAAAUUUGUUGUUUAAUUCAGAAUAAAACUCCAGAAUUUGAAAAUUGAGUUCAUUUGUUAGUAUACGUUAAAUUCUUUAUUAUAUCAUUAAAGACAUAGAGGCAAAAGAAUUAGUAAAUGUUUGUAGUUAGAGAAAUUAUCGGUUUGAUUUGUGAUACGAGAAGGUUCCUUUCUGUGAAAAUGACCAAUUAUAAUUAAAUGAGCAAUUAUUUAUUGUGACAUCAUCACAAUAAAUAAUUGCUCGUUUUCGACAUCGUCACAAUGCCAUGUUGCAAUUUUUAAUCAUAUUUUUAAAAUUUAUUUAAUUUAAAAUAUAUUCUCUCCACUUCAAAUUAGUAAUGUCUUGUCCCCUGUAAAUAAUACUUUUCCUGUUCACAACAGAGUCAUGCUAUCAUCUAUAUAAUUCCUUACAGGGGAAAAUUUUUGAAUUGAA